AGUUACCAGCACGUUAUGGUGGGCGACUCUAAGGAGACUGCCGGUGACAAACCGGAGGAAGGUGGGGAGUGACGUCAAGUCAUCAUGGCCCUUACGGCCUGGGCUACACACGUGCUACAAUGGUCGGUACAAAGGGUUGCCAAGCCGCGAGGUGGAGCUAAUCCCAUAAAACCGAUCGUAGUCCGGAUCGCAGUCUGCAACUCGACUGCGUGAAGUCGGAAUCGCUAGUAAUCGUGAAUCAGAAUGUCACGGUGAAUACGUUCCCGGGCCUU
rnacentral:rRNA from 1 species